UAAAUACAGUAAAAUUUGUCUCUUUUCAAA
rnacentral:piRNA from 1 species